rnacentral:rRNA from 1 species
CCGGCGCACGGGUGAGUAACGCGUGUGCAACCUGCCCGGCACAGUGGGAUAAUCCGGAGAAAUCCGGCCUAAUACCGCAUGUGGCCGAGGGGAGGCAUCUUCUUUCGGCCAAAGGAGGCGACUCCGGAGACGGAUGGGCAUGCGUGACAUUAGCUUGUUGGCGGGGUAACGGCCCACCAAGGCGACGAUGUCUAGGGGUUCUGAGAGGAAGGUCCCCCACACUGGUACUGAGACACGGACCAGACUCCUACGGAAGGCAGCAG